UCAUUGGCUCAGGGAUGAAACGCUAGCGCAGGGCCUAACACAUGCAAGUCGGGGGGUAACAUUGGAGCUUGCUUCAGAUGACGACCGGCGCACGGGGUGCGUAACGCGUAUACAAUCUACCUUUUGCUGAGGGAUAGCCCAGAGAAAUUUGGAUUAAUACCUCAUAGUAUACACUACUUUCAUGAGUUAUGUAUUAAAGGUUACGGCAAAAGAUGAGUAUGCGUCCUAUUAGCUAGAUGGUAAGGUAACGGCUUACCAUGGCAACGAUAGGUAGGGGCCCUGAGAGGGGGAUCCCCCACACUGGUACUGAGACACGGACCAGACUCCUACGGGAGGCAGCAGUGAGGAAUAUUGGACAAUGGAGGCAACUCUGAUCCAGCCAUGCCGCGUGCAGGAUGACUGCCCUAUGGGUUGUAAACUGCUUUUAUACAGGAAGAAACACUGCUACGUGUAGCAGCUUGACGGUACUGUAAGAAUAAGGAUCGGCUAACUCCGUGCCAGCAGCCGCGGUAAUACGGAGGAUCCAAGCGUUAUCCGGAAUCAUUGGGUUUAAAGGGUCCGUAGGUGGAUAAUUAAGUCAGAGGUGAAAGUUUGCAGCUCAACUGUAAAAUUGCCUUUGAUACUGGUUAUCUUGAAUCAUUAUGAAGUGGUUAGAAUAUGUAGUGUAGCGGUGAAAUGCAUAGAUAUUACAUAGAAUACCAAUUGCGAAGGCAGAUCACUAAUAAUGUAUUGACACUGAUGGACGAAAGCGUGGGGAGCGAACAGGAUUAGAUACCCUGGUAGUCCACGCCGUAAACGAUGGGAUACUAGCUGUUCGGAACUUUUUCUGAGUGGCUAAGCGAAAGUUAUAAGUAUCCACAAC
rnacentral:rRNA from 1 species